AUUGAACGCUGGCGGCAGGCUUAACACAUGCAAGUCGAACGAGUGGCGGACGGGUGAGUAAUGCUUGGGAAUCUAGCUUAUGGAGGGGGAUAACUACGGGAAACUGUAGCUAAUACCGCGUACCAUAGGAUGAGCCCAAGUGGGAUUAGGUAGUUGGUGAGGUAAAGGCUCACCAAGCCGACGAUCUCUAGCUGGUCUGAGAGGAUGACCAGCCACACUGGAACUGAGACACGGUCCAGACUCCUACGGGAGGCAGCAGUGGGGAAUAUUGGACAAUGGGGGCAACCCUGACGCAGCCAUGCCGCGUGUGUGAAGAAGGCCUUCGGGUUGUAAAGUACUUUCAGCGGGGAGGCGUUACUCACAGAAGAAGCACCGGCUAACUCCGUGCCAGCCGCCGCGGUAAUUC
rnacentral:rRNA from 1 species